GACAGAGGGUGCGAACGUUGUUCGGAAUUACUGGGCGUAAAGCGCGUGUAGGCGGCAACGCAAGUCGGGCGUGAAAUCCCACGGCUCAACCGUGGAAGUGCACUCGAAACUGCGUAGCUAGAGUCCUGGAGAGGAAGGUGGAAUGCUUGGUGUAGAGGUGAAAUUCGUAGAUAUCAAGCGGAACACCGGUGGCGAAGGCGGCCGUCUGGACAGUGACUGACGCUGAGACGCGAAAGCGUGGGGAGCAAACGGG
rnacentral:rRNA from 1 species